ensembl:snRNA U6 U6 spliceosomal RNA
GCGCUCACUUUGGCAGCACAUAUACUAAAAUUGGAAUGAUACAGUGAAGAUUAGCAUGGCCUCUGCACAAAGAUGACAUGCAAAUUUGAGAAGUGUUCCAUAUUUUU